rnacentral:tRNA from 1 species
GCCUGGGUGGCUCAGUCAGUUAAGCAUCUGACUUAGGCUCAGGUCAUGAUCUCUUGGUUCACGGGUCCGAGCCCCGUGUCAGGUU